rnacentral:misc_RNA from 1 species
AAACUGGAUAUAUUCUCAAGGAAGAUGAAAGUAAUCUGGAGGCAUUAUUGCUCCGUGGCCGUGCCUACUACUAUUUAGCGGAUCAUGAUGUUGCUUCAAAGCAUUUCCAAAAAGGUCUUCGUCUCGAUCCUGAACAUGGUGAGCUGAAGAAAGCGUAUUUUGCAUUGAAAAAUUUACUCAAGAAGACUAAAAGCGCAGAAGAUAAUGCAAAUAAGGGCAAGCUGCGAGUUGCAGUAGAGGACUAUAAAGCAGCUCUUGCAUUGGACCCUGAUCAUCUUUCAUAUAAUAUUCAUCUUCAUCUAGGCUUGUGUAAGGUAUUGGUCAAGCUUGGCAGGGGCAAAGAUGCAUUGAAUAGCUUCACCUCUACUUGAAGCUUUAGUGCAGAGGGGUGAAGCUAAACUCUUAAUAGAGGACUGGGAAGGAGCUGUUCAAGAUCUCAAAUCAGCAGCUGAGAAAUCACCUCAGGACGUGAAUAUACGGGAAACAUUAAUGCGAGCAGAGAAAGCCUUAAAGAUGAGC